rnacentral:rRNA from 1 species
CCUGACGGAGCGACGCCGCGUGGGGGACGAAGGCCUUCGGGUUGUAAACCUCUUUUCUGAGGGAAGAACGUUCUAGCUGUUAAUAGCAGAUAGAGUUGACGGUACUUUAGGAAUAAGCCCCGGCUAACUACGUGCCAGCAGCCGCGGUAAUACGUAGGGGGCGAGCGUUGUCCGGAAUCACUGGGCGUAAAGGGCGUGUAGGCGGCUAGAGUAGUCGCAGGUGAAAUCCCACGGCUCAACCGUGGAACUGCCUGCGAAACCAUCUAGCUUGAGGACAGGAGAGGAAAGCGGAAUUCCUGGUGUAGCGGUGAAAUGCGUAGAUAUCAGGAGGAACAUCAGUGGCGAAGGCGGCUUUCUGGCCUGGUCCUGACGCUGAGGCGCGAAAGCUAGGGGAGCAAACAGGAUUAGAUACCCUGGUAGUCCUAGCUGUAAACGAUGGGUACUAGGUGUUGGUGGGCUCAUACCCAUCAGUGCCGCAGUUAACACAAUAAGUACCCCGCCUGGGGAGUACGGUCGCAAGACUGAAACUCAAAGGAAUUGACGG